ensembl:lncRNA
UGUUGUACAAGGGUUACAGGAAAUUUUCUUUGACAUGGCUCCAGUCACAAAUAAACAUUCACAGAGACAUAAAAGACGAGACAAGAGAUGGGUGUUGAGGUUUCAGCUGACUGUGGUCUUCAUUUGGUGCUGUUCAGUAGGGCUAUUGCAGAGGGGAUGAAGGAUAUUUUUGUAGGUGUUUUUAUGGGUCAGUGGUCCAUUGAAACGCCUGCCUGAUGGUAGCAGCUGGAAGGUGUGAUGGAGGGGGUGAGAGGGGUCCUCUGUGAUCAGGUCGGCUUUCCUGAUCACUUCACGGCUGUACAGCUCAGAUAGGGGGGGGUUGGGGGCAGCCUGAUUAACUAUAGUGUGUUAUGUGAUUCAAUGAGGAACGUGUCGGCAAUCAAUAGGUUUGCUUUCUAGAGCAUUAUGGGACACAUAUCAAUAUUAAUCAUGCUUCAAAUGACCUUAUGAAAAGAGUUUUGGAAAUAAUAAUUAAAAAAAAUAGUAGUAAAGUGAAUUGUCUGAAACAUGAAUGACUGUAAAUAUCUGCUGUGUGACAGUCCUGUUUCACGAAGCGUCUGGAUGUUGAGGUACACUCGGUCUUUACAGUAGAUCCUGUAGGAUCUAAGGUCAUUACAGUAGAUUCUGUAGAUCCUGUAGGUGUGUGGUCGUUACAGUAGAUCCUGUGUGGUCGUUACAGUAGAUCCUGUAGGGUCGUUACAGUAGAUCCUGUGUGGUCGUUACAGUAGAUCCUGUAGGGUUUGGUUACAGUAGAUCCUGUAGGGUCGUUACAGUAGAUCCGGUAGAUCCUGUAGGAUGUGGUUGGGUUACAGUAGUUCCUGUAGGGUGUGGUUUCGUCCAGUGGUGUAGUCUAUUUUAUUGUAGUGGGUAUACUGUGAUGAUUCCCUCCCAGCCUUGUACUACCCGUCCCACCGGUACGUGUAUGUGUGUGGCGCUUAUGGGGUGUCGCACCACACUCACCGACGCAGGGGUCUACAACCCGCUGAUUUUUAGUAUAACGAUUAUCAACAAUCAUGGAAAGCUGAGUAGGUUUAUCAGUUUUAAUAACAGUAUAAACAAAUAGAACACAAAAAUGAAAAGUUGUCCUUUGAAUGUCUAUAGUAGCAAUAGCACAUGCUAAACAAGGACAAAAUCUACUCAAAAUAAUUUAAUGAACUGUUUACAACCAUGGCUAACCAUUGCAUGAGAAGGAGAUGACAGG